GGACCCGCACAAGCGGUGGAUGAUGUGGAUUAAUUCGAUGCAACGCGAAAAACCUUACCUACCCUUGACAUGUCAGGAAGUCUGCUGAGAGGUGGAUGUGCCCGAAAGGGAACCUGAACACAGGUGCUGCAUGGCUGUCGUCAGCUCGUGUCGUGAGAUGUUGGGUUAAGUCCCGCAACGAGCGCAACCCUUGUCAUUAAUUGCCAUCAUUCAGUUGGGCACUUUAAUGAGACUGCCGGUGACAAACCGGAGGAAGGUGGGGAUGACGUCAAGUCCUCAUGGCCCUUAUGGGUAGGGCUUCACACGUCAUACAAUGGUCGGUACAGAGGGUUGCCAACCCGCGAGGGGGAGCCAAUCCCACAAAGCCGAUCGUAGUCCGGAUCGCAGUCUGCAACUCGACUGCGUGAAGUCGGAAUCGCUAGUAAUCGUGGAUCAGCAUGUCACGGUGAAUACGUUCCCGGGUCUUGUACACACCGCCCGUCACACCAUGGGAGUGGGUUCCACCAGAAGUAGGUAGUCUAACCGCAAGGGGGGCGCUUACCACGGUGGGAUUCAUGACUGGGGUGAAGUCGUAACAAGGUAGCCGUAUCGGAAGGUGCGGCU
rnacentral:rRNA from 1 species